CAUGCCUCCAAUGUGAAAUGCCCUCUGGGGCAUGAGGGAGCUCCCAGAGAGAGAGAGAGAGAGAGUGUGUGUGUGUGUGUGUGUGCUAGCGUUAUGUGCACUCUGAGCAACAGAAGGAAAGGGAAGCAGAAAGAAAGAUGGGCUGAUGGACAUGAAGACAUAGGAGCCCGCAUGCAGUUGGAGAACACUGUGAACUGCAGGAAGAACCCUCCGUUGCAUUUGAAGCAUACACAAAUUUCAUUGUUGGUGUCAUUCACUGCAUCUCCGAGUUCCCUAUAGGACACUUCAUAAGAUAAAUUUAUUUUAGAAUUUAGCACAAGGAAAUACUUGCUGCUUCCAAGGAGCCCAUAUGUUUUCUCCUCAUGAAUAUGUUACUAAUUAGUUUCUGAUUUUGUUUUGUCUAUUGGGAAACUUAGGGGAAAUUUUAAAAACAGCUAUGGUAGCGAUCCCAUCACCUGCUUAACAAUAUUCUGUUUUUCCCUUGACUUGUCUCUCUUAUUCUAAUGCAAUUUCUUUUGUUGCGAUGAUUUAGAAACAAAUAUUUUACUACUUUUUGUAUGUUGUAUGAAUGGCUGCAAAAUCUUUUUCUAAUGAGGUAAUAUAUAAGUAAAUAAACAAAAAUAGAUAUGAAUUAGCCUUGCUAAAACAACCUUUGAGUGAGCAAAGGCAGGAAAUUCCGAAACUGACUUCAAGCUUUUUUCUCAUUUAUAUAAAAUUCCACGACUUAAUUUCUUAACUUCUACCACCCUUGAGAAAUGCACUGUGAAUGGAGACAACAUUCAAGAAAAAGCUAAGAGCAGUGGCCAUAGCGUAUGGCUGCUAACCUUGUGCUCUUCUUGUCGGCAGUGUGUCAAAGACUAAGAGCAUAGAAUUAAAUGAAAUGUGAACAUUUCAGAGAGAUCUUCCCCUGGAUUUGUCUCAGGGCUUUUAAAAAAUUUUUUAUUUUUUAUUAUACUUUAAGUUCUGGGAUACAUGUGCAGAACGUGCAGGUUUGUUACAUAGGUAUAUACGGGCCGUGAUGGUUUGCUAAACCCAUCAACCCAUCAUCUACAUUAGGUAUUUCUCCUAAUGCUAUCCUUCCCCUAGCCCCCCAGCCCCUGACAGGUCCCAGUGUGUGAUAUUCCCCUCCCUAUGUCCAUGUGUUCUCAUUGUUCAACUCCCAUUUAUGAGUGAGAAUAUGCAGUACUUGGUUUUCUGUUCCUGUGUCAACAAACAUAUGAAAACAAGCACAUCAGCUGGGUGCGGUGGCUCAAGCCUGUAAUCCCAGCACUUUGGGAGGCCGAGGAGGGUGGAUCACGAGGUCAAGAGAUCGAGACCAUCCUGGUCAACAUGGUGAAACCCCGUCUCUACUAAAAAUACAAAAAAUUAGCUGGGCAUGGUGGCAUGUGCCUGUAAUCCCAGCUACUCAGGAGGCUGAGGCAGGAGAAUUGCCUGAACCCAGGAGGCGGAGGUUGCGGUGAGCCGAGAUCAUGCCAUUGCACUCCAGCCUGGGUAACAAGAGCGAAACUCCGUCUCAAAAAAAAAAAAAAAAAAAAAAAGAAAAAAAGCACAUCAUCCCUGGUCAUUAGAGAAAUGCAAAUCAAAACCACACUGAGAUACCAUCUCAUGCCAGUUAGAAUGGAGUUCAUUAAAAAGUCAGGAAACAACUUUUUCCUGAGAAAUGGAGAUCCUGGAGAAAUGGAGAAAUAGGAAUGCUUUUACACUGUUGGUGGGAGUGUAAAUUAGAUCAACCAUUGUUUAAGACAGUGUGGUGAUUCCUCGAGGAUCUAGUACCAGAAAUACUAUUUGACCCUGCAAUCCCGUUACUAGAUAUAUACCCAAAGGAUUUAAAAUCAUUCUGCUAUAAAGACACAUGCACACGUAUGUUCAUUGCAGCACUGUUUACAAUAGCAAAGAUUGGAACAUACCCAAAUGCCCAUCAGUGAUAGACUGGAUAAAGAAAAUGUGUCACAUAUACACCAUGGAAUACUAUGCAGCCAUAAAAAAAGGAUGAGUUCAUGUCCUUUGCAGGGACAUGGAUGAAGCUGGAAACUAUCUCUGGGCUUUCUAACUUCCUCAAGGCAGUCUGCUUUUUUUUUUUUUUUUUUUUUUUAAGUAUUGGAAACAGCAUUAGAUUUUAAGGCCAAGUAAUAAAAAGUUUCUUGCUACAACUUUGAGGACUUGGGCCUGACCUCUCUGACUUUCUGCAAAGAGGAGAAAAUAAUAACUUUACAGCAUUAAUUUGGAUAACAAGUGAAAAUGAAGGUGAAGGCGCUAUGUAAAUUAAGCAAAUCUCAUUACAUAUCAUGAUGAAUUCAGGAUUCUUUACAAUUUUCCCCCCUCACCAUCUGUGAUCUUAUUACACAACAUGCCCCCAACCCAUACCCAGUGGCCCCUGUGCACCAGUCAUUCCUUGGCCAUGCCAAGUCUGUGAUCAACUCCUACAUGACCUUUGAAGUUCAACUGAAAAAUCACCACCUCACUGAAGUCAUAGUCCUGCCAUUCACAGUGUACAUGUUACUUUUUCUCUAUUCUCGGUCCACACUUGGUUUACACCAUUAAUGUAGCACUUGUUGUAUUGCAGCUGGUUGUUUCCUGCUCGCCACCUCUCAGUGCAGCUUCUCAUUGGCAGGAACUGUCAUUCACCUUUAAAUCUCUAGCACACUGAGGCACAUCCAGCUUCCAGAUGUUAAAACAAAUCGCAAACUAAACAUGGGGUUUGAUACCUUUGAGCAGAGAAGAAAGUUUUCUAAAAAUCCAUCUGUACCUUAGAUAUAUUUUGUGCUGUGAAAAUGCGAGUUGAUGAAAAUGAAAUGCCAGGCAGUAGCAUUGAAAUGGACUGUUUCUUUUAUGACUAUCAAAUGGGGAUGAGUAGAUGCUCUCAAUUUCCUCUGAAAACUAAAAAAGAUUCCUGACUUCCAAGUCGAAGGCCACAUUAAUGCAUGAUUGGAGCACUGGGGACAUUUUAUUGUUAGAAAGGAAACAAGGCAGAUGGGACAGUGGUGGGGACAGCAGAGCAGAGAGAUUUAGAGUUCAGGCUGCGGCGGCACUUAGGUAAGCAAUUUAAUUUCCUUGUGUUCCCACAUUUGAAAAAUAGGGAAAAUGAUAGUAACUACCACUUUGGUUUGUUUCAAGAAUUAAGUGAGAUAAUACACGAAAAACACAAAGUAUGGUGUCUGGCACAUGGCAAGUGCUCAAGAAAUGUAAUUUCUUCUUAUAAUUAAAUUGCAACCUCAUUUUCACAUAGAAGGUCUCAAUAGUCCCUGAGCUUUCAGAGUUCUGACAACUCAAUUGUUGCCUUCCUCCUUUCUAAGUGGACCUGUGUGCUUGCAUUGUGUGGGAAAGAUUGUCUUUCUUUCCCAGACUUCUGCUGGGCUGCAGUGGAUGCCACAGGAGUGAUGGGGCCUGCAGGUACUCUGAUUGAAGGCACAUGGUCUAGCGUCACUCUAUUCAUACCUCAUCAAAAGCAUGAACUCAUAUCUGGAUGUAGCAGCUGGGGAGGAGCAUUGACAAAGAAGCCCGUGUUCAGAGACUUAUUUCCCUGUGUGUACCAAGAAGGUGACAAUCCCUGUGUUACAUAGUUUCUGGAAAGAACACAUGAUAAUAAAGUAUGUUAAGUUGCCUCAUAAAUAAAAAUAGGGAGCUGUCUCUAUCUUUGUUAUUUGGUAAUAACAGACUAUGGCUGAUUUUAGUCCCAUGGACAACAUGGGACUUGGAUGGCUAUCCACAUUAUACUAGCAAUAGCCAUCAAGCCCAUGUGUGGGGGAUAGUCCCAGACAUGGAAGAAUUGUGAGAGAAGACACAUUUCAAGGAUGUCUUUCAGCACUUUGUGCUAGGUGUGGAUUUUAUCCAAACAAAAAGAGGGGAGAAAUUCUUCUCAGCUACAAAUGAAACUUGGAGUAAUCUCUCCCAGUUGACAGGGAACCACUAUAACCUCUGCUGACCUAAGAGAGCUGCUCCUUGCAUUAUGGAAGGUUGUCACAGAAAUAUUGCAUUCACUUAGCCAAGGGAGCUGCAUCAGCAUUUUAGAGGAUUGCUGAACUCAACUAUUUAGAGAGCCUUAUGUCUUCUCCCCGACAGGAUACCACAGCGGUGGUGAGGAUGAGAGGGAACAAGACUGUUCGAGCAGGGGCAUGGUGAUUUAAACUCAGCCCCUGCUCACUUUGAUAAUGGGCAUCAAAGCAGGAGGGAUCUUGUUCUAAUUUUGAGUGUUCUUCAUUCGGGAAAUAGCUGUAUUCAUGAAGAUUUGUGUGCAAGGCAGAUUUUUAGAAUCAGAUGAUUUAAAAGCUGUUUGGGAAGACCACUAUUUGAAGGAAUUCAUUGAGGACUCUGGGAAUCUUUUUGUGAUGGCAGUUUUAGGUGCUUUGUAAAUUCGAAGUUUUGCAAGUUGGAUUGUUUUUGAAUGGCGGGCAAUACUGACAAAUAUGUGCUUGUUUUAAGCUUUACUACAUUUCUUAUAAACAUUUGCUUGCUCAUAUUACCUUUCCUUUGAACUUUGUCAAGUAUUGCAAAGUUCUGGAUUUCAUUGGAAAUUAAUUCAAUUAAUGUAGCAUGGAUAGUUUGCUCUGCUUCAAGCACUGUGUAAAUCCAAUUUUUUGGCAUAUUACAAAGCAAAGGGGUUGGAAAUUGAUGUAUAUUUCACAUAUCUACAAUAUUCAUGUCUCUCAAGUAUUCUCUUGAAAGGUGGAGCUAGCUUUUAAAUAUUCACAAAAUGUUUCCAUGAGAUAGCAAAAGAAUAUGAGGUGUUUGUUUAACAUGACUUAAUUUAAUAUAUUGGGAAGUGAGUUUGCCUAUAAGCUUUGCCUUGUGUCCCCAUAAAUGGAGCAUCUAUACUCUACCUGUUAUUGUUGUGGACAUUUCUAUAUUCUUUGUCUUAUUUAAUUAUCACAACAGGUAUUAGUUAAUGGGCUUUACAGGUGAGGAUCUGAGGCUCAGAAAAUAUAAAUGAAUUGCUUGAUGCCAGCAGUACGGUAAUUUGUAGAUCUAGGACUUAAAAGUGAUUCUUUUAAGAUUUAUGUUCUUUAACAUAAUCACAUAAACAGUGAGCAAAAUGAACCAAUGGUUUGAAUCAAGAGUGAAGGAUAUUGGAGUAGAAGGAAGGAUUUUAAAUUAGGGGCUGAAGAUAUAGUUGGCAAAGAAUGGAAGAGCUUCUUAUUAUGGCUAUCAUAACCAUAUGGCUACCAUUUAUCAAGUGCUUACCAUGAACCAGGCAUUGUGCUAAGUGUUUCUCAUUAAGACUCACAGAAUUCCCAGGAAGUACUCCUUUAUUAUCCAGUUGUACAGAUGAGGAAAUUGAGAAACUGAGUUUAAAUGGACUUGCCUCAGGUCCUACAAGUGAAUAAGCAGAAGCAUUUGGACUCAGUCCUAUUUCUAUCUUCCUUUAAAGCUCAUUCUCCAUCUACAAUACUCUGCCACUCACCAUCCAAAGUCUUGAAAUGUGAAUGCUUUUGCCUGCUAAUAACCACUUGAAUUUAGGUCCCAGUCUCUGGAUUGUUAAUAUUUUAAAAGGCCACAAAACCAUACAACAAUGUACUCUGAAAACUAAAAACCAAUAUUUUUUUAAUAGAACACACACAAAAAAUCUUUGAUGCUAUUAAGGUAGUAAAAAUGUAGAAAUUAUUUUCUCUAAGAUGCUGCAGAAGCUUAAAAUAUGUCAAGAUAGCUUUUUAAGGAUAUAUUUUUAUAAAAAUUAUAAGAACACAGUUAAAAUAGUCAAGGAAUUUUAUAUAAUUUACAACAGAAUACAGCCAUCUCCUGCCUCCAAUGCACAUUCUGUUCCCACGAGUUUCCACUUCCAGAAGCAGCCACUUACGUUUAUGUUUGCCUCCAUGUUUAAAAUAACAUGUAUAUACUGUCAUUUCUUUUUUUAAAGGUAUUGUAUUAGUUUAUUAGGGCUGUCAUAACAAAGUACUGACGAGGGAUACUUGGGGUAUUGCUUCGCCAACUGGACACCUCUGUGGCUGGUGGCACCUUUUGCCUGAGUAUUGCUCGUGCCUAUUGGGCUCCUUCUCUCUCAGCGCAGCAGGCUGCACUCAGCUCAUGCUGCCAGCCUGGAUCCCAUACAUGCCAAGGGUGAGCCAGGCAUGGAGUGGUAAGAGGAGUGUUAGUGAGCAUGGGGUCUAGCCACUGCGCAUAGCCAGGCAUGCUGGCUGCUGUGAUGGGGUGGACAGCUCCAGGCACCAAUACAGGUACUGGUUUCAUGCAAGGCUGUGCUGGACCAGAUGUAUUGCACAUGGCUUCUGUUGUGGGCAUCUGUACCUGGACGGGAGAAUGCAGUGGCUCCUGGAAGCUUGGACAUGCCAGGAACCACAGAUCCCCAAAGAGGGUGUUAUGGGCCUGGAUUGGGGAGCCCCUAGGUCUGGACUCUCAAAGGGUGGCAGCUCUUCUCUCCUUCUUGUCACCCACAACUUGGUGAGUGGGGUGGGUGAGUGUGUUUCAGCCUCGUUUGUGUUACAGAUCUUUUCCUGGGUCCCAAGUUCUUGUUCUGCAUCCAGGAAGAAUGAGGUAAGUGGACAACUGGAGGAUGAGCAAGUUGAAAGGAGUUUCAUUGAGUGACAGAACUGUUUUCAGAAGACCUGAAGUGGGUAGCUCCUUUCUGCAGUCAGGUCAUCCUGUCAAGUCUGCAGCUCUCAGUAGAGAGGAGACCCAGAGUGGGCUGCUGCCCACCCCAUCGCAGUAGCUCCUAUUCACAGGCAGGUUGUCCCAUCAUAUUUGCAGCCCUCAGCAGAGAGGACACCCAGAAUGGGUAGCUCCUGUCCAUAGCAGGUCGUCCUGAUAUCUCUACAGCCCUCAGCGGAGAGGAGACCUGGAAUGGGUAGCUCCUAUUCACAGGCAGGUCAUCCCAACAUCUCUACAGCCCUCAGUGGCGAGGAGAGAGACCCAGAGUGGAUAGCUCCUACCUGCAGGCAGGUUGUCUGGUCAUCUGCCUGAGUUUAGCUGAAUCCACAGUUUUUAUGGCUUCAGAGAGGAGGAAGUUACCUGCUGAUUGGUCCGUGGGUGGGCCCAGAAAAAGCACCAUAAGUUCUCAUUCCAGUCUGCAGAACUGGCAGCCUGGCCCCCAGGCUUCAGGCUGUCCAUGGCUUGAAGGUGGGGCUUCACUGGGUAUCCACCCCUUUCCACCUAGGAGCCUGUCUGCCUCCUGCCACCAGCUAUAUGUCCUCCAUGGUGCCCAGGCUGUUCAUGCUGAGGGGUGCCUGCACCAAACCCCCCUCAGCUCCCCCUCAGCCUUCUCUGAUGCUCAUUGGUGCCCAAAGCUUGCAGGGGGCCGAGGUGGCAGGGGACUGGCGUGUCAGUAUCACCCUGAAUGUGUACACACCCAGCUGGGUCAUGACAACACCCAGGCUCAGCCACAACUUUGCUCCAAAAUUGGAGCAGGCACCAGGAGCAGGGAGAGGCCAUGCAGUCAUUUCUGAGCCUGUGGGGGUAGGAGGGGCUUCCCAGGCCCCCAAGAAUUCAGGAAUGUUUGGGUCUGCAGCUGUAGCUGGGUGGCUGCUGCUGUGCCUGGGAGGAUAGGGCUCCAGCCCCUCCAACUCAGAAGUGGGUAGGGCUCCCACCAGUUUUGUGGAACACAUGGCCUUGAAUGUACCUCCCCACUGCAGCCAGUGUCAUGCAGCAGCCACUCCAGAUGGGCCACUGCUACCAUCAGUACCACAAACUGGGUGGCUUACACAACAAAAAUUCAUUGUCUUACAUUCUGGAGGCUAGAAGUCCCAAAUCACUUCUCAGUAGAGUGGGUUUCUUCCAGGGCUGUGAAGAAGAAUGUUCCAUGCCUCUUCCCUAGCUUCUGGUGGUUUUCUGGCAGUCUUUGGUGUUCCUUGGCUUGUAUAUGCAUUAAACCAAGUACUACCUUCAUCUUCAUGUGGCUUCUUCUCUGUGUCUUCUUCAUGUGGUCUUCUCUCUGUGCAUGUCUAUUGCUAUGCCCAAAUUCUCCCUUCUUAUAAGGACACCGGUCAUAUAAUGACCUCCUUUUUAUUUGAUUACCUCUGUAAAUAUCCUAUUAUUAUUAUUAUUAUUAUUAUUAUUUUGAGAUGGAGAAUCACUCUUGUGGCCCAGGCUAGAGUAUAGGGGCACAAUCUCAGCUCAUUGCAAAUUCUUCCUCCUGGGCUCAAGUGAUUCUCCUGCCUUAGCCCACCAAGUAGCUAGGACUAGGCACCUGCUACCACGCCUGGCUAAUUUUUGUAGUUUUAGUAGAGAUAGGGUUUUACCAUGUUGGCCAGGCUGGUCUCGGACUCCUGACCUCAGGUGAUCUACCUGCCUUGGCCUCCUAAAAUGCUGGGAUUACAGGCGUGAACCACCACUCCCAGCCAAAUAUCCUGUUUUUAAUUAGGGUCACAUUCUGAGGUACUGGGUGUUAGGACUCUCAUAUAUAUUUUUCUGGGGACAUAAUUCGACCAUAAAAGUUAUCUUCCAUUGUAUUCUUCUCAUAAAAUAUGAGGAUUUAGUUAUUAUACUCUUUACAUCUUCCUUCCAUUUGCUUUCACUUCUCCUACCUUCUGAGAAUAAUGUUUUUGUUAUGUCAAACUUCAGUGUUUACCUUAUUAUGACUGUACAAAUAUUAUUUACAUCUGAGUCAUGUCAUCAGUUUGAUUAAAUUUCCUUUUAUUUGCACUUGGUUUUCAUGGAAUUAUUAAUGGUCUUGUAUUCUUGUUUGCUUAGUUUCCUGAGCCAAAAGAGAUUAGCUUCUAGACUAUAAAAGGCAUUUCUGCAAGGCAAAAAGAAAAUAAGGGAUAUGAAUAGAAACAUGGGCAAAGGUGUGAACAAGUAAUUUAAAAAAAAACUCAUAUGAUUAGCAAGCAGAUGAAGAGAUGCUCUAACCCACUGGUGAUUAGAAAGAGGAAAACAUCAAACUAUUACUUUACUCCUCUCAGUAAAGUCAGAACUGAAAAGCUGGAUAGUGCUAAGAUUGGCAGGUAUGUGAUAAUCAUACAGGAACUACAAAGUACCAUGAUGGAAGUGCAUAUUGGGGCAGCAAUUUGGGGAGCACUCUGCCACCCCUUAGUCAACUCCAUCACACCUCAGGAUCUUCAUCCUACAGAAAUUUCCUACUUUGUUUGUGACAGCUGGAAAUUGGAGACAAUCUAGUUGUUGGAUAUACAUUAAGGAAUUCUUAUGAAUUAGAAGCAAUGAAUUGGAUGUAUACACAGUGCCAUGGUUUAAAUGUACCCCUCCGAAGUUCAUGUAUUGGAAACUUGGUUUUCAAUGCAGAAGCACUGGGAGGUGGGGCUGAACAGAAGGUGUUUGGGUUAUAGGGACAUUGCCCUAAUGAAUGGAUUAAUGCUAUUAUCUGGUGAGUGCGUUUGUUUUUGUGGAAUAGGUUCCUUAUUAAAGGAUGAAUUUGGCCUCCUUAUGCUCUUUCUUGUCUUCCCUUUGCCUUUCCACUUUCCACCAUGGGAUGAUGUAGCAAGAAGGCCCUUGCAAGAUGCCGGCCCUUGCACUUCCCAGACUCCAGAGCUGUGAGACUACAUUUUUGUUUAUUGUAAAUUACCAAGGCUGUGGUAUUAUGUUGUAGCAGCACAAAACACACUAAAACACAACAGCAAUAUGGAUAGAGUUUUUAAAUGCUGGGUAAAAAAAGCAAAAAAAAUUAGAUAUUUAGAAAUACCACAUAUGUAAAUUAAAAAUGUACACAAAUAAUAUAAUACACAUUUUAAAAGAACUCAUAGAAAUGAAAUAUAUACUUGAAACAUAUCAGGGUAUUUGCCUGUAGGGGAAUGGAAAUAAGGAGAGAGAAAUAAAUAAGUAAGGAAGGGGCUGCACUAAGACUCAUGCUGGUAAGCCAGAGUUGGGAAAGGAUGAUUAACUCUACCAUCUGCACUGAAGUCUAAAAACAGAUUCAGUGUUUACAUAAUUAUGACUAAAUAAACGUUAUUUACACUUUAUGCAUGAGUCAUAUAGUGUAUUAUAAUUAUAUUUUCUUUGUGAGAGAUUGGGGUAUUACGGCUUUUUUCACUUACUUUGCUGCAUUUAAUAAUGGUUCCAUUUUUUUGGUUUAAUUUGUGUUUCUAUGAAUGAUUACUAAUGCAUCUCUAAACUCUUUGCCAGACAUAUAUACCUCCUCCCUUUAUAUUCAAAUUCCUCAGUCUGUCGGUGUCAUACUUUUAGUAACAUCCUCCUUGUCACCUGCUGUGGAAUGAUUGCAUCUGCACACAAUUCAUUUGUGGAAGCCCUAAUUCCCAGUGGGACUGUAUUUGGAGAUAGGAGCUCUAAAGGUAAUUAAGGUUAAGUGAGGUCAUAAGGGCGAGACCCUAAUUCAUAGGACUGGUGUCCUUAGGAGAAGAGGAGGAGAAAGAGACUGCCCCUCUCUACCAUGUAAAAUACCUGGCCAGAAGGCAGUCAUCUGCAAGCAGGAAGAGAGCCCUCAACAGAAACUGACCCUUCGGGAUCUUGAUCUGGGACGUCUAACCUUUAGAAUUGAAGGAAAAUAAAUAUCUGUUGUUUAAGCCAUCCAGUCUGAUUUUGUUAUGGUAGCCCAAACAGACUAAGAUAUUGGUACCAGCAAGUAGGGUGCUGGGACUGUAACAAAUACCUAACAGUGUGUAAGCAAGUUUGGAACCGGGUGAUGGGUAGAGUCUGGAAGUGUUUUGAGGAGCAAGCUAAAAAGUCUAUUUGCCAUAAAGGAAAUAUUGGUAGAAAUAGGGAUGAUAAAGGCAAUUCUGGUAAAGACUUAAAAAUAAAGAAAAACUGGAGAAAAAAGCCUUUACCUUUUUAGAGACUAUAUAAUCAUGAACAGAAUAAUCAUGUUGAUAGAAAUAUAGAUAUUAAAGAUCAUUCUGGCGAAGUCUCAGAUGGAAAGGAGGAGUAAGUUAUUGAAACUGGAGGAAAGGCAAUCCUUGUUAUAAAGUGGCAAAGAACUUGACUGAAUGGUAUUCUAGUGUUUUGUGAAAGUAUAAUUCACGUGUGAUAAAAUUGGAUAUUUAACUGAGAAGAUUUCUGAGCAAAAUGUUGAAGGUGCAGCCUAGGUCCCCUUGACUGCCUGACUGCUUGUAGUAAAAUGAGAGUGACAGAGAGAAGCUGAAGAAGAAUUGUUAAGCAAAAAGGAACCAAAACUUGAAGACUUAGAAAUUAUCAGCUAUACAUAUUACAAAAAGUGAAAAAGUUUGUUCUCAGGGAAACGUCAGGGGUGUGGCUGAACAACCAUUUGAAAAGAAGAUUAGUAUGAAUGUGAGCUAUACAUUUAAUCAAUCACUAUAACAGAAGCUAGGAAUAGAGAUGGAAUUGUAUGAGUAGAAACACUGCCAAUUUAAACUGAAGUGGAUAAAGAAGAAAAUGAUGAAGAAAGGCUGUUGGGCUUCUUAGAUUCAAUAGGACUGGACACCAAAGCUAUUUUGGGAACGUGUUAUUUUUCAAGAAAAGGGAAGAACAACCCUCAAUUCUCUCCUCUCUGGUUUCUCUGUUCUUCUCUCUCUCUCUCUCUCUCUCUUUCUCUCUGAAAAUCCUAUUAUUUGUAUACUAGGCCUCCCAGAUGUGGCUCUAAUUUUCUUAUCUGCCCCUCUACCUGCCCAAUUUCUAUCCCUUUUUCUUUAUUUUAUACUUUUUGGGAGCUUUCCUCAACUUUAUCUUGCAACCCAUUCACCGAUUUUAAUCCUGUUCACUUAUUUUUAAUAUCAAAUCUCUUACUUUAUACAAAUUGGUUUUUUAAAAAAAUAUAUGCAUAUUCUUACUUUAUCCUGACAAUAUUUUUAUUUCUAUGAAGAGGCUAGUUUUUGGAGAUAUUUUCUUCUGUUCUCUGCAUUACUUUUUUUCCCUGUGAUUCUUUUACUGUUGUUUGUUGUUUUGGUCUUUUUCACAUUAGAACCUUUCCCUCAAGUAUCUGAUGAUGUGGGCAUUUUUGCUCAGAGUGAGAUACUACAACCUUGGAGGAAAUGAUCAUUCUGUGAGCAGAUGUUACCUGGUGAGUUUCACUGUAUGAUGAUCUGGCAGGGCUGUGCAGGACCAAAGCAACUAUGAGCAACUUUAGGUCUUUUUUAUCCAGUUGAGCAAUUUUUUCAAGUAUCAAUCUUCUGAUCUCCCUUCUAGUGGAGAUAUUCUUGGUUCCAGCAUUCUUGUUGCUGAGUUUGGUAAAUCUCUGCAUUCAGUAAGUAGACCUCACCUAAUCUUUCAGUUUUCAGUAUGAAAUCUCCUCCAGCUCCGCUAAAUAACCCUAAGACCAGACAGAGUAUCUGGUUCAACCCCUUCAUAGAGUAUACACCUAGUCUUCUACUAGAACUGGGGAAGAGAGAACCCAGCUGCAGCUUCUAAUCCAGACUUUCAAUUAAAUCUCUUCUUGUUGUCCUAUCUGCACCCCAACUUUCAAAGUAUGGGAAACAUAAAUUCCUGAGCCUCCUUGGGUUCUUUCACAUACAGUGUGCAAAAAGCAUUUUUGCCAGUGACUUCCUUUCUUUGGAGGAUGAUUAUUAAGUCUGGACUUUUAAAAAUCAAAUUUAGGAUUUACAAAAAGUAUUCCUAUACAAGAAAGAUCCUUGUGAGAACAAUAAAUACAAGUACUCUGUUGGAAUGGAGAGAUCUCUACUCGCCACCGUGAUAGAAUUUCACAUAUCCUAUUUCUUCAUUUCUUUUUCUUUUUCCUUUCACCUUUUUCUUUUUCUUCUUUUUUUCCUUUACUUUUCUUGCCUCUUCUCAUCUUUUUCUCCAUUUAUUUAUUUAUUUGUUAGUUAAUUUUUUUUGUUUGCUUAGUUUUAAAAAUUCUCCUUCUCAUUGUCUUCCUCCUGCUUUUCCUCCUUGUUCAUCUAUAUUCUCCUCAGGAUUGUCAACACCUCAGUUGAAUGAAUUAAGUAGGAUAUAGUGCAGAGGAUUUCCAGAGUGGGGAGCUUACAUUUGCGAACAUACAUUUGCAAACCUAAGGGUGCUUAGGACCAACUUGGAGAGAAUUCUUAGGCAAAAUCUAUGGACUUCUGUUAGAAUUGUUAUUUUCCAAAGAACUCAUAGGUGUCAAUUACAGGAUUAUGACUACAAAGCAGUGACCUCCCCUGGGACCUCCAACUCAUUUCUUAUAGGGCACCGAGAGCCCAGCAACCACCGCAACUUUGUAUAACUUUCCAAGCUCAGACAAAUCUGAACUGAUGACCUGAGGGUGAGAGGCUCUGUAUAACUUGAUUACAUUUUUUAAAAAAUUCCAUUUUUCUUGUGAAAAGACACCUUCAGAACACAAUUUCAGUUUAUCUCUGCAAUUUUAGACAUCAAAUAGCUUAUUUUUUAAGUUCUAUCUGGGUCAAAGAACAUUAUUAAGAAGAAAAAUGUAAAAAAUAUUGGUUUUGUAACAAUUCGGUAUCCAAACUGAAGGCUCUAAUAAACUCACAGAAAUGUUCUUGCUUUGAGACUUUUUAGAAUUCUAAAGAAAAGAUAAAAAUAUUAUGUAGGACUAGGGUGCCCUACAAUGUACGCUAAAAAAUAAAACUAAGCAAUCAACAGAUUUUGAAUGAUAAUAUGCCAGAAUCCUUUUUUUUUUUUUUUUUUGGUAAGUAGUAUCAUGUAGGCUCCUAGUGUCAUGAAUAUGCCAUUUUAGUGUUUUAUUUCUGUGGGAUUUCACCUUAGAAUCCAGAGUGUAGAUUGUUCACAAACAGGAAAGAAAUAAGAAUGACUCCUUAACUUCUCUAUUCAUGUAAGAAUCUGUCAACUGAGAUGUUUGCUCCAUUUCUAAGUGUAGACAAAAGACAUUGGAUCUUAUUUCAGGGCCCCAGGAUUAGAACUUCAUCUCCAGAUAUUGUGAGGUUGCUUCAUCAAAACAGGCACAUAGAAAUUAAAACAACUGGCACAAUGUAUUGAAAAUGAGCACACUGUUCUAUUUUUUUUAAGUAGAUGAAAAAAAAUCAAUAUUUCGUCUUCAAGUGCUUACACCUAUACAGGAAAGAGAGGUGAAAAAACGAAUUGUUCCAUCUGUAAUUUCAAGCAGAGAAAAUGAGUUACAAGCAUAUCAGCAAAAUACAGACAGAGAUAGACCCAGCGAAGCAGAAGGAAAAUGACUAACCACCAUUUCCCCUUAUUCCCAUAACUGAUUGGAUGUAAACAAAACAUUCUCUCCCAAAUGAGAGGCAAAAAGUCUGACACCAAGUAGUGGCUACUUUUCAAGAUAUCUUUGUCAGCAAGACGGGUUCAAGCCAUGAUUUCACCGUUUCUAUGAUUGACGUUGUUACGGUUCUUGGAACAGUUACCAUGGUAACUGAAGGGCCUUGUAUGUAUUUGAAGUAAUUCACCUGACCUACUGCUCAAAAUGAGGGAGGGCUGAGGGCUACUAUUUCUCCCAAGGAUUCCCCAUGAUUUGGCCAGUGUAAACUGUAGUCUUGGCUCUGAUCUGAAGAGGCUGUCCAGGCAGUGCACGUGAGGAAGGAUGAAAAAAAUAGCAAAUUCCUGUAUCUGCCAAGACAAACUCCAGCCUGAGAUUUUCCCUAGGGAUUUAUGAUGUUGUCAGUAGCCUCUGGUGUUUUCUUCUUCCUAAAUAUGGACUUGAUAUUUGCCAUUUCCUUCCUGAUAUUUCCUGUGGAGGCCCGCGGGAAGGAUGCUUCCAUCGAUUUGUAGGAAGACAUUUGUGUCCCACCUUUGGAUCAGAGAAAAAAUGGUGAGUAAGAGAGACUGAGAUUGAGAGAGGGAGACAUGAAGCAAGCUUAUGGUGGUUGAAUUACAGUCUACCAGAAAUGGUACAGAUAUCUGAAUAAUAUUAAAAGUCAGCCGGUGUUUCCCAGCCCUUUUAAAACAGAAGACAAAACUCAGGGAGUCAUGACUAUCACAAUAUCACAGCAUCUCUUCAGCUCUGACACUGGUCAGAUCUGUCUAAGACCCCAAAAUGCACUACAUUCUCCCCUUCACUAAUGUAUUCCUCUGGACUAUUCCAUUUCUAAUCUCUGCAUCAGGAUGCUCCCAUUUCUUUUAAUUCACAAGACUUUUAAUUCAAGAAGGAGUGCUGGCAAUCUCCUCACUCUUUGCUACUGCUCUGGAUGAUUUUUCUUCCAACACUUGUCAAUCUUUUUUUUCCCCUCAUGGAGCUCAGGCAGCCACUUUGGCCAUUUCUUUGCCAUCCUCAUUGCUGUUAUUGGUUGACCUUUGGGAUCUUCUUUUAUUCUUCUUAAUGACCUUAGCACCUGACUCAGCAUUUUACUUCCUGACUUCUCCCCAGCUUCUACUCAAGGAAUUCAAUUUCACCCAGUAAUUCUUCUAAUACAUUGGUUCUCUCCCUUUCUUAGACCUCUCAACCUUAACACCUCCAUCUGUCCUCUCACCAUAGUCACGCGGGUAAAAAUAACUGCAUUUCGAUCUCACUUUCACCUCAAACUGACACACUUUCUCUCUUACCACAACUUUCUGUCCUUUGACCUGACACACUCUGACUUUCAAUCAGCGUUCUACUGAUCCUUAUUGAUAUGGUUUGGCUGUGCCUCACCCAAAUUUCAUCUCAUCUUGAAUUGUAGGUCUCAUAACCCCCACGUGUUGUGGCAGGGACCAGGUGGAGACAAUUGAAUCAUGGCGGCAGUUUCUCUCAUUUUGUUCUGGUGAUAGUAAGUUACUUCUCACGAGAUCUGGUGGUUUUAUAAGGGGCUUCCCCCUUAGCUGGGCACUCACGCUUCUCCUUCCACCAUGAUUAUUCAUUUUCUGAGGACUCUUCAGCCCUGCAUAAUUGUGAGUCAAUCCUCUUUCCUUUGUAGUUUAACCAGUCUUGGGUAUGUCCUUAUAGCAGUGGGAGAACGGACUAAUACACUUACAAUGCCUUCAAGCUUGGGAACCACUCUGUUCUAAGAGACAUGUCUUGUUCUCUUGGACAUUCUUAGCUAGCACGGUUAUUAUGGUUAAUGAGUUCAGCCUUCUUUCUCAACAACAGUUUGGGCCUUCUCAGAACCUACACACUGAGUUGGAUAUGCUAUAGCUUAUUCACUCAUAAAAUAUUGACUGAAUAGCUGGCAUUCUCUUAGGUACCGGGGUUAUGGACCUGUUCUCUGUUUUCCUGUAGCUUAUAAAAUAGUGGAUAAACCAGAUAAUAAAUAUAAACACAAAAAUACAGACUAAAAUAUUAGGAGGAAGUGAAGAGGAUGCUGUGAUGAUAAAAAGUGCUUACUGAACGUUUAUAUGGACCAGAUACUAUUAUAAGUCCUCUAUGUUUUUUGAUUCUUUUAACCCUUCCAACCAGCCUCUGACUAUGUUAUGUUUUUCCCAUUUUACGGUGGAAAACUGAGUUACAGAACAAUUAGAUUCAGCUGCCUAGAGGUCACACACGUGUUGGAGCUAAGCUUCGAAAUCAGUUUCCUUAGUCUACCUUCUUAACCACUAACUCCUGGCUUUAGGGCAGCAGGCAUGGCAUUUUCAUAGACAAGCUGGUCUUUGAGAGCUCCUUUGAGAAGAAGGGAUUUAGCUCAAGGCUUCAGGAAAGAGAAGCCCUCCAUACUGACAUAAAUAAAUGAAAGAACCAGGAAGCAGCAUUUCAGUGAGAACAAGUUGCAUGGAGACAGGCCUAAGUGUGUUUGAAAAUGGAAAGGUCAGUAUGGCUAAACCAUAGAUGGGGGAAGAGAAUGGCAUAGGAUAGGGCUGGAAAAGAAAGCUGAACAAGACCUAAGGCAAAUUUGGCAGAUUAAGGGAUUUGUAUUGUAUUCGAAAAGCCAGAGGGAACUGGAGUCAAUGUUCACUUUUGGAAUCUCUCUCUGGCAGAUAUGUGGAGAAUGGAUUCGGGGUAAAUACAGGCAUGGGACAACUGGAAAACUUGUGCAGGACUCUGUUCUAGAGAUAAUUGUGGCUUGGACUGUGGUGGUGGCACUGGGGACGAAUAAAGGUGGCUUUGUUGUUAGACAUGCUUUGGGGGUAGGACCAGCAGAACCAGGUGGUGGGUUGAUGUGGGAAGUAAGAAAGACAGAAACAAGGAUGGGUGUCAGGUCCCUGAGUCAAACUAGGUAACUUUUGUUUUCACUGAGCACACGAGGCCAUGUAGCAGUCCAACCCUCUCUUUCAUUUACCUUCUGAAUCAUCAUACAUCCUUUCUCUCUUUUUUCCCAUAUCAGGGAAAGUUGUCUUUCUAUUCUUUCUAUCUAGCAUCUCAAGCUGCAAAUUUUGAGCCCCUUUUCCUGUCAUCUUUAUGGUUUUGCUUGAUCUCUUAUCCUCAUUCUGUCAUGUAUUUUCAAGUUUUCCUUUCCUGGUGUCCUUUUUUGCUUAUAUAACAAACUCAAGUUUUAUCUGCUCUGAAACAUAAACCCUUCUUUCAAUGUUAAUUAUCUCCAGAGUUGUUCCCACAGUCCCUGCCUUCCUGUGAGAACAAGCUGUUUCAGUAAGUGGUCUACGGCUGUUUUUUUAAACUCUUUAUGGCUGUUUCUCAGAACGGAUGUUCUCACCUUGAUGUCUCAUGAGCUAAGAGUGAUGUAGGGCCAUUCUGGGUGCUAUCCAGCCAUGUGAUUUAUCCAACAGUUCCAGAUACUUUGCCCCACAUCAUAUUAUUUGCUCUAUUCCCGCAGCCUUUCUUGGUAGCAACUUACCAAAAGGCAAACAUUGCCUGAUGCAAGCACUUUGAGAAAGAGCUAAUGCUUUCUUCCUUGUAAUUUCCUUUUUAGGGAAAUCCUAGAAUCUAGGGUUUCUAAAGUUCGUGAAAAUGAGCAUCACCCUUAGUUCUGUGUCACUUCCACCCCUCAUAAAAUGCAUAGAAAAUUAGGAAGAUUUUCCAUUGAAAGGAAGAAUAAAUUAUAGUGUGGCCUCUUUUGAUAUGGCAAAAAUACCGGCCAUUUCAGUCAUAUGACAAAACACCUAAAAUCAUUUUUAAAUACUGAGUGUUGAGUGAUCAUCCAAAUAGCAUUAAAUAGUUGGUACUUUUAAGCAUCUUGUUUAUUCGAAGCAGCUAAGUCCAUCACUCUCCCUCACAGGAUAUUUGCUCUGAUGAGCCAACAAGUCAAGCUGUUGAAUGAAAGGAGACCAAAGAUGAGGCAGAAGGCAGGCUUUGGCACCUUUGGAAGGAAUCCAAGUCUCAUAGAAUAAUGGGGAGGAAAUAUUGGGGAGGCUUAACAGGCAGCUUAAUCAGCCUUGGCUUCUUUUUUUGAUCUGUUCCCCCAGUUUGGCUGUAUGCACUGCUAAAUGGUCUUCAAACAUAGAGUUUACACACUCUGAUGUAUACUGUUCCCUCCAUGCAGAUUCCCUUCUCUGGUUUGCAAACUGUUUAUUCUGCAAGUUCUGCUUCCUAUGUUACCUUCUAUAAAGCAUCCUCGGUAUCCACAGUACACUACAGAGUUUGGAGUGUGGUUCCUGGAGCCAGAACGCCUGGAUUCCAAUCCUGACCAUGUCUCUUAUCAGCUGUGUGAUCUUGGAUAAGUGAUUUGACUUCCCCAUGCCUCGACUUUCUGAUAUGCAAAACGGAAAUAAUAUUUCAUAUUGGGGUUGUCAUGCUUAAUGAGCUGGUACAUGUGAAGUAUUCAAGAUACUGUCUGGCACAUAGUAAGUGCUUGGUCAGUGUUGCCUAGAAUUUUUCCUCAGGUAGAGUUAUUUAUUCUUUCGGACACUCAUGGUAUAAUCUUCUAUGGUAAUGCUUAUCACAGUGGUGAUUAUUUUGUUUAUAUGCCUCUAAGAUGUGGGCUUGCAGAAGAUCAAAACAACAUUGUUCUUUCUGUCUUGCACAGUGUCUUGUGUGGUACAUGGUCUGUGGUACAAUUUCAAUGAAUGUUUAUUAAAAUAAUGAACUGAGAAAUUUUGUGGUUCAUUUAAAGAUGAAUUAAUAAGGGACUCAUGGUGAAGUCAUUACUAAUUAAAUCAGCUAUAGUGAUUAACCAAAUUACAUAGUCAUUUGUAGUUUUGCAGUUUUAAUCUUUGGCUACAUUAUGAUCAAAUCCAUAUGAACGACGAUGAAAGAAAGAGGUGAAGAUCUGUUGAACACUGUCUUUGUGCUCUAUGCUUUAUAUAUCAUAAUUAGUGAUCUCCUUUAAGUUAUUACCAUUUUACAGUUGAGGAAAGACUCAGAGAAGUUUAGUGAUAUAUCUAAGGUAAAAAAAAAAAAAAAAUAUAUAUAUAUAUAUAUAUACAUACACACACACACACAGGGGCUGUGUGCGGUGGCUCACGCCUGUGAUACCAGCAGUUUAGGAGGCGGAGGCAGGUGGAUCACCUGAGGUUUGGAGUCUGAGACCAGCCUGACCAAUAUGGAGAAACCUCGUCUCUACUAAAAAUACAAAAUUAGCUGGACUUAUUGGUGCAUGCCUGUAAUCCCACUUGGAGGCUGCAGCAGGAGAGUCACUUGAACCCAGAAGGCAGAGGUUGUGGUGAGCUGAGAUCGUGCCAUUGCACUUCAGCCAGGAAAGCAAGCAAAAACUGUCAAAAAACAAAACAAAACAAAACAAAAACUAGUUUGAGUAGCAGGCUGACGUUUCUAACCCAGGGAGUCAAACUGUAGACUCUGAAGUAUCUGUUUUUGUUUGUUUGUUUGUUUUUUGAGAUGGAGUUUCGCUCUUGUUACCCAGGCUGGAGUGCAAUGGUGCGAUCUCAGCUCACCGCAACCUCCGCCUCCUGGGUUCGGGCAAUUCUCCUGCCUCAGCCUCCCAAGUAGCUGGGACUACAGGCAUGUGCCACCAUGCCCAGCUAAUUUUUUGUAUUUUUAGUAGAGACGGGGUUUCACCAUGUUGACCAGGAUGGUCUUGAUCUCUUGAUCUCAUGAUCCACCCUCCUCGGCCUCCCAAAGUGCUGGGAUUACAGGCGUGAGCCACCGCGCCCAGCCUUUUUUUGUUGUUGUUUACUUUUUUUUUCCCCAGUGGAAAAUAAGUUGUAUUGAGACAUCACCAGC